rnacentral:misc_RNA from 1 species
CUCACUUUUUCCCAAUAAAGAUACUUACUUUUCUGACCCCAUUGGUCUCCAUUUUCUCAGGAAUCAGAAAGAAAACUCCAUGGCUAUUUCCUCUGUCUCUUUCCUUCACUUCAUCCUCUUCUUCCUUUCUCUCACCCCUCUAAUCUUCUCUUCACCAUCAUCAAACCUUCCACAGAACUUCAUCGUCCACGUCGCGAAAUCUCACAAGCCAAUCCUCUUCUCCUCUCACCGUGAUUGGUACACAUCAAUCGUCCGAUCCCUCCCUCCCUCCUCCCACCCCACCAAGAUCAUCUACACCUAUGGCCGCGCCAUCAAUGGCUUUUCUGCCCACCUCACUGCAGCCCAGGCAGCAGCACUCCGCCGUGUUCCUGGGGUCCUAUCCAUUGUCCCUGACCAGAUUCGCCAGCUCCACACCACCCGCACUCCUCACUUUUUAGGCCUUUCUACUGGGUCUGGCCUUUGGCCAAAUGGUGCUUAUGGUGAAGACGUGAUUAUUGGUGUUCUGGACACUGGAAUAUGGCCUGAACACCCGAGCUUCUCGGACUCUGGUCUGUCUCCUGUUCCGGAUAAUUGGAAAGGUAUCUGCGAGACAUCGUCGGAUUUUCUUGCUUCUGCUUGUAACCGGAAACUCAUCGGUGCAAGAGCCUUCUUUAAAGGGUAUGUGUCCUAUCAAGGGAAACCCAUUGAUGGAUCAAGAGAUUCAGCUUCACCCCGAGAUACAGAAGGUCAUGGCACCCAUACAGCAUCCACUGCAGCUGGGUCCUUCGUCCAUAACGCGAGCUUUUACGAAUACGCACCUGGAGAAGCUCGUGGUAUGGCCUCAAAGGCAAGAAUUGCUGCAUAUAAGAUUUGCUGGAGUCUGGGUUGCUUUGACUCUGACAUUCUUGCCGCCAUGGAUCAAGCCAUUGCAGAUGGUGUCCAUGUGAUUUCAUUAUCAGUUGGUGCCACCGGUUAUGCUCCUCAAUAUGAUCAUGAUUCGAUAGCGAUUGGGGCAUUUGGAGCAAACCAACAUGGAAUUGUUGUUUCUUGCUCUGCUGGGAAUUCAGGGCCAGAUCCUUUUACGGCCGUUAAUAUCGCACCUUGGAUUCUCACCGUUGGUGCUUCUACCAUUGACAGAGAGUUUCCAGCUGAUGUUGUGCUAGGCGAUGGAAGGAUUUUUGGUGGGGUAUCGCUCUACUCUGGUGAGCCGCUAGUGGAUGACAAGCUGCCUUUGGUGUAUGCUGGUGAUUGUGGAAGUAAAUAUUGCUUUAUGGGGAGUCUAAGUCCAUCAAAAGUUAAGGGGAAAAUUGUGGUAUGCGAUCGAGGAAUGAAUGCAAGAGUAGAGAAAGGAAGCGCAGUGAAGCUUGCAGGUGGGCUUGGAAUGAUAAUGGCAAACACUGCAGAUAGUGGUGAGGAGCUCAUUGCAGACUCUCAUCUUAUACCAGCUACUAUAGUAGGCGAAAUUGCUGGAAAUCAGAUUCGACAAUAUAUCAAAUUGAGUCAAUUUCCUACUGCAACAAUUGUUUUCCAUGGAACUGUAAUUGGGACUUCACCGCCUGCUCCUAAAGUUGCAGCCUUUUCUAGCCGUGGUCCAAACCAUUUGACACCACAGAUUUUGAAGCCAGAUGUUAUAGCUCCUGGAGUUAAUAUCCUGGCUGGCUGGACGGGAGCUUCGGCUCCAACAGAUUUGGACAUUGAUCCUAGAAGAGUUGUGUUUAACAUAAUCUCAGGGACAUCAAUGUCCUGCCCCCAUGUCAGUGGAAUCGCUGCUUUGCUUCGAAAGGCAUACUCAAAUUGGUCACCUGCUGCUAUAAAAUCU